rnacentral:lncRNA from 10 species
AUUCACAAUCUCUCACUUGGCUGCUUCUAGCAAAGGGUGAUGUCUAGAGCAGUGAUUUCCAAAUGGGAGCAAAAGGAUCCAAGGGAAUGCUCAGAAAUAUGCAAUGGGGUACAGAAAGAAGACAUGAUUUAAGAUUUGGUUUACUUAUCUCAAAAAGAAGUGACUAAAAGUUCAAUGGGAGAAAUGAUAGAAGCUAAUUGUGAUAAAACAGAUAAAGUACAUGGCACAAUGGGUGUGAACCCCUGGAGUUUUACAAUCAUUUGAAAUUCAAAGGCAAAUGCUGAGAGCACACCAUCAUGAGAAUUGGCACCAAUGAAAAAGUUUGUCAAAAUCACUCUGGCACUAAACCACUGAAUGUUUUCAACACAAAUGGAAAGCUGACAUCAUUUAUAGACAACUCAUGGACCAACACAAAGGAAAAAAUGUCAGAUCCAGUGAAUUUCUUUUCUUGUAAUUACUGUAUGAUUUCAACAUUGGCGUCUGUAAGAAAUACUAUUUUCCUCUGAAGUGUUUUCUGUAGCAUUAUUUUGUUUACCAUGGGAGGUUUGUCUUCUCCCAUUUUCCUUAGAAGUUGAACACACAUUUUCAAAGCCUGCUAGUGAUUUUGAAUUUCAAAAGCGAUUACAAGCAUGAUUCAUGCAAUAUGACUCAUCCCUCUCAAAUGCUCUAAUUGUAUAAACUAUAUCCUUCAAAGCGUCUUAUGGACACAUUAAAUAUUAGUAAACACAUUUUCAAGUGCCAAAAGGUAUGGUUCCUUCACACUUGCUGAUAAGACUGUAAUUGAUCCUCUAAUUUCCAUGUAUGAUUCAAAAUAAAGCUAAGACUGUGGUAAGUCUCGCAUUUUUAACAUUAAACUUGAACACACCAGUUCUGCCACUGCAGUAGCCACAUCUUGAUUCUUAACAGCAGUCACCUUCACCUCCAUAAUUUCCCUUUUGUUGCUUCAAAUUAUUUGUUGUACUAAGCACACUUUCUCUACCAAUAAAUUCAUGCCUCUUAU